CCUAACGGGUGGCUGCAGUGGGGAAUAUUGGACAAUGGGGGCAACCCUGAUCCAGCCAUGCCGCGUGUGUGAAGAAGGCCCUCGGGUUGUAAAGCACUUUCAGUGAGGAAGAACGCCUGGUGGUUAAUACCCAUCAGGAAAGACAUCACUCACAGAAGAAGCACCGGCUAACUCCGUGCCAGCAGCCGCGGUAAUACGGAGGGUGCGAGCGUUAAUCGGAAUUACUGGGCGUAAAGCGCGCGUAGGUGGCUUGAUAAGCCGGUUGUGAAAGCCCCGGGCUCAACCUGGGAACGGCAUCCGGAACUGUCAAGCUAGAGUGCAGGAGAGGAAGGUAGAAUUCCCGGUGUAGCGGUGAAAUGCGUAGAGAUCGGGAGGAAUACCAGUGGCGAAGGCGGCCUUCUGGACUGACACUGACACUGAGGUGCGAAAGCGUGGGUAGCAAACAGGAUUAGAUACCCCAGUAGUC
rnacentral:rRNA from 1 species